rnacentral:rRNA from 1 species
GACGAACGCUGGCGGCGUGCUUAACACAUGCAAGUCGAACGGAAAGGCCCUGCUUUUGUGGGGUGCUCGAGUGGCGAACGGGUGAGUAACACGUGAGUAACCUGCCCUUGACUUUGGGAUAACUUCAGGAAACUGGGGCUAAUACCGGAUAGGAGCUCCUGCUGCAUGGUGGGGGUUGGAAAGUUUCGGCGGUUGGGGAUGGACUCGCGGCUUAUCAGCUUGUUGGUGGGGUAGUGGCUUACCAAGGCUUUGACGGGUAGCCGGCCUGAGAGGGUGACCGGCCACAUUGGGACUGGGAUACGGCCCAGACUCCUACGGGGGGCAGCAGUGGGGAAUAUUGCACAAUGGGCGGAAGCGUGAUGCAGCAACGCCGCGUGCGGGAGGACGGCCUUCGGGUUGUAAACCGCUUUCGCCUGUGACGAAGCGUGAGUGACGGUAAUGGGUAAAGAAGCACCGGCUAACUACGU